AAAGAGCUUUUACUUAUGUUUAUUAUAUAAGUAAAAUUUACAUGUAAAUUUUUAUUUAAUUUAAUAGUAUUUUAAAGAGAUAAAUAUAAAUAGAAUAGUCACAGUAAAUAGUUUUGAAAAUUUAAGUAAUUAAGAUUUAGUUAAUAAUUAUUAGUAUAGUUAAAAUUUGUGCCAGCAAUCGCGGUUAGACAAAUUGUGCAAUAAUAAAUUUUUGGUAUUAGUAGGUUUAGAGUAUAAAUUAAGUUGUUAUUUAGGUUUGAUAGGUGAAAUUUUAAAUUUUUAUAUAAUUUAAAUUAAAUUAGUAUUAAGAAAAUUUUAUUUUAGACUAGGAUUAGAUACCCUAUUAUUGAAAAGGUAUUAGUAUAUGCUUAGUAAGUAUGAUAUAUGAUUUUGAAAAUUAAAAAGGAUGGCGGUUUUUUAAACUAUUCAGAGGAACCUGUUCUGUGAUUGAUAAUCCACGAUUAUAUUGACUUGAUCUUUUAGUUUGUAUAUCGCCGUAGUUAGAAUAUUUUAAAAGAAUUUUAAUAUUCGAGAUUUUUAUUAGAAAGGAAGUCAGGUCAAGAUAUAGCUUAUGAUUAAGAUAGAGAUGGGUUACAAUAUAUUUAUAUAAAUGGAUAAUUUAAUUUAAUUUAUUUUUGAAAGUGGAUUUGAAUGUAAUUUUAUUAAAAUUUUUAAGAUGAUUAUAGCUCUAAGAUAUGUACAUAUCGCCCGUCGCUUUCACUUUAAAGUGAAAUAAGUCGUAACAAAGUAGAUAUACUGGAAAGUGUCUCUAGAAGAAC
rnacentral:ncRNA from 1 species